GCCACAGCACCCGGCCACACACAUAGAUUUAUUGUUUAUUUUUUCUUCUGUGCUGAGUUAAUAUAUUCCCUCGAUAGUCAAAAUAUAAAUUUAUGUGGUUGGGAGUGGCGUGGACCUUUACACCUGGGCUUUAAUAAACAUGCUUUGAUGUCGACCUCCAGGGCCACAUUAUCAUUUGCCUGGAUUUGAAGAGGAGACACAGGACAUUGCUGGAUUCAGAUGAACAGCUCCAAUCUCCAGUCUAUCACCCGUCUCCUUGAAUUGCUAGGACAGUGGGAAGAAGGAGCACAGAGAAAAGUUCCCCUUCUGCCUUUGCAUCUGUGCCAGAGACUUCCCAAAGCACUUCUCAAUCUGUUCUCUCCUGUGUGUUCCUCUCGCACACCUGCCUGCCGGGUGCUGCUGCAGCAUCAGCGGCUCCAGUGGCUGGUCUGCUGCAGAUGGACCCGGCACAGCAGCUCCUGUUCCUCUGAGUUCCCGUGGCCAGAGGCAGGGAGAGAAAAGCCAAGGUUAGAGGUGGGGACAGAAGAUUGGCUCUGGAUCCUCCAACAGAAGUUGGGUGCCGCAAGGAGGGCAACUGCUUUUGUCUGGUUGUCUUGGCUUCUACUUGGAGAAAUGCAGAAUUCUUCAGUUGUCAACGUUGUUACUAUAACAUUUGCAUCUUGGGAUACUGUGGCUAGGACUCAGGUGCCAUCUAGGAAUCAAAGGAGGCCAAGUCCUCCCCUCUUUUCAGCCCCUGGGUCACUGGAUGCUUUCCACUACACCCUUAGUCGUAAGUGCCAUCAGUAACACACGUGGUGUGUUAAUAGCUAUUGAACGCUGCCAGUGUGGGGGCGCUAGGCUAUGCACCCUGUAUGUAUCAUGGUAUUUCAUUUAAUUACACCAGCAUUUUAAGGCGGGCAUUGCUAUCCUUGCUUUACAGUUGAGGAAAUCCAGGUCCUCAAGGCCAGUAAGUAGUAGAGUCAGGAUUUAAUCCCAGGGUGGCCUGGCUGCGAAGCCCCUGCCGCGCUGCCUCCCAGCAGGUACAGAACACCACGUUAGCAGUGGGCCGAGCAGGGCAGCUCUUUGUAUCACAGGCCUGUCUUCGGACCCUGUUAGGUCAUAAAUUGGUGGAGAGUACAGACCAUGCCUUCUAAUUGUUUUAUGACACAGUCUCAUCACCUGUGAAAAACAGAGCUAAUCUUUCUGUUUAUUCUCCAGUGAGUCAAACCAAAUAAUGUCCAUGUGAGCCUUUGAAACAUGGGGAAGAAAGAGGGAUUAGGGCCUCCGGCACGAAGAAGAGCCCAUGUAGCUCCUCUGGAAGCCCACCCUCUGCCUUCUCAGUGCGCCAUUAGAGCUCGCUCAGUUCUUCCGCAGAUUCCUCCUGGUGUUCGGUGCCGGAUAAACAGUCUCUCAAAUUUCUUACAUGUUAUGAGGCAUUGCAGAUGACUCUGUAUAAUCAAAUGUGCCAUUCCACAUCUCAUUUGUAAUUUCACAAUUUAGCUCUCUGCGCCAUUUAAGCACAUAUAGAGCCUCUAGAGAAAUCCUUAUUUUUUUGCUAAAGCUUUUAUAUGUGAGUUUUGUGCUGAUUUUGGUCUUUGCUAUAUCUAAUAAGAUUCUCCCAAAGUUUUCUCACCACGAAAGGCUUUAUAAAAUUUAAGGAACCAUGGAAAUAAACCCCGGCCUAUUACAAAUCAAGUAGGCCAAGGAAGUAUCAGGUAAGAGGCCCCAGAUUAGAAGCUGAAUGUUCAUUUCCUCUUGUGUCUAUUGUCCUAUUCCCUCUGCUUCAUUUUUUUCUCUGAUCAUGUUUAAUAAUUUUGGAGCAAUUUGUAACCAGCUCCCCCCAAACACUUAUUUAUAACUUAUAAUUAUCAUCAGUAGUAGUAAUGUUUAUUUUUUCAGCAUGGCUUAGAGUUUAUAAAAUGUCAAUAUUACUUCUGAUGAUUAGCAUAAUAACUGUGGUGGGCAGGGAUCAGAUUUAUCAAUGGAGGCACUGAGUCUUGAGGAUGUUAAAGACCUUACCCACCUUCAUGUCCUGAGUAAGUAUUAGACUCAGCAUUUCGGAAUCAAGUCUUGAGAAUGUAGUUCAAGCAACAUCAUGCAACCUGUCCGCCUUGUUUAUUAGCUUCUAUAAAGCAUUUUUAGGCAGACACUAUAAGGCGCCAUGGAAAACUGGGCUGCAUUUCAUGGACUAGAAAGAUUUACAUGAGACGUGUUCCCAGGCAGAAGGAUGAGAGGCACAAAGAAAGGGUGAGAAACAAUGGUCUGAAACAGCCAGCACAUGGGCUCAUUAACCUCUUCUAAACAAUCGCUCAUCUCUCCUAGCUCCCUGCUGACCAGAAAUAAGUCAGAGGGGAAUUUGUGUGGUAAACUUUCACCUACAGGGACCUGAUCUCUGGAGAGAAAAAAGACAUCACCAGUGGACAGAGUUUGCUUUCUGUGCUGAGUCAUGGGGGUAGUUCUUCUUUCUUGGAAUAAUUGGGAAUCAUACUCCUGGGGAAAAUACCUGUGUCCCCAGCAGUGUUGCUUAAAUGACAUGAAUGCCAAGGGCAAUGUAUCUCCUGUUAAAAUGUCUAACUUCCUAAUGGCCUUUUCCAACUCACUUAGCAUUCAUUUAUCACAUUCUCAUGUUACCCACUCAGUAAUAAUAAAAUAAUAAUAAUAAUAAUAAAUAAUACUCUGGAGCAGAGUCAGGGAAAGUUGGGACAUAGCCCUGCAGGUUAAUAGUAAACCAUUUAAAAGGAGGAGGAAAAGUACCCAAGCAGGGGUAAUGGCAGAAGCAUUGUGUGAAGACCCCAAAGUAGUCAAAAACAUGGCAGAUUCUCAGCAAUGUAGAAGAUGCAAGUCCCAGGACUUACAAGUUGGUUGACCUGGCAGAGGAUGAUGGAGGGACGAGCGCCAAUGGCUCCCAGGGGUCUGGCAGAGCAGCUGCAUGGGCCACUGAGUCAUUUCACAAGGUGGGGGAUGAAAAAGCGAGUUCUUUCUUUCCUUCUUGCUUUCCUUUCUUCUCUUUGUUCUUUCAGGCUUGCUGAUCGGUGCAGCUGAGAACAUGUCGAAUUUGAUGUGUCUGUGGAUAUUUGAGUCUGGAACAUUGAAGACAGGUUUGGUCUGGAGAUGUAGACUGCGGAUAUCUCAGCACACAGAUGAUCACUGAAACAAUGGAGCGGAUGAUAUCACCUGGAGAGAGUCUAGUGUGGGAAGAUUCUUCUCUGAGGUGGUUGAAGGAUGUACUUCUUACUCCAAAGACUGAAACAGAGACAAGAGAACCUGAAGUUUCAGGGUUUUGUCACUGGGAAGGCAGUAGAGUGUGUCAUAUCCCAAGAGUGAAGCAAGGACAAACCAAAGAACAACUGGGAAGAUCUGAGAGAGAAAGGGUGAAGGCAGUGGCUAGGAGAAGUGAGAGAAGGUUAUGUGAGGAGCAAAAAAACUGGGAGGACUGAGUGGCUCUGGAUAUUGUCCUUAAAGAAGCUCCACACUCGAGAGGCCCUUUCACAUGACGGCUGAUGUGUGCUUGGAAGGUGGUCGUGGGCAUUUGAAAGGGAGUACUGGGCUGGGUGCUAUUAUUCCUAACAUUACCAUGUGUUCCUUGUGAGGCUAGCUUACAUGGAAAAGACCUUCAGAUUUGUGCUUUGUUGAGCACAUUGUGUCCUGCCUUAGUUUCCCCAAGGUCCUCAUUUUUUUUUUCUUUUUUUCAAGAGACAGGGUCUUACUUUGUUUGGCUGGCUUCAAACUCCUGACUUCAAGAGAUCCUCCCACCCAUCCCACCCAAAGUGCUGGGAUUACAGGCAUGUGCCACUGUGCCUAGCGGGUCAUCAGUCUUUGGGAUGCUGUUGACAAAGCCAUUUGAUGAUAUCAAAGAGAGAAUGAAGCAGAAGGUUUUUUGGCCCCUCUGCUUGGGAUGCCACUUGCAGACAGAACUCUCCACAGGUUUACCAUCCAGUAAAGGAUCACCUGUUUAUAGCCUGUGUAAUGUCAAUGAUGAUUCUUGGAAACAAUUCCAUUCUCAUAUACAUCUUGACGUUUCAUGGCUGAGCCAUUUGUCAGAGUGCUCUGGCUUCAAAUAUACCUUCAAGUCUUAAGACAUGAACUUUUGAGGUGCAGGAAUCAGCAAUUCUAAAAGUCACAGGUCUUCCAUCCAAUGUCCUGGUUGCCUUCUAGAUCCUGUUCUAACAAACGUAUCUCCAAAUCUCAGUUGCUUAACCCCAUACAAGUUUAUGUGCCGAGAACAUCAAGAUGAAGGUAUGGUCCAUGAACUAGCAGCAUUGGCAUUACCUGGGAGCUUGUUAGAUAGAAUUCAGAAUCUCAGACCUGCCUCAGACCUACUGAAUCAGAAUUUCAUUUUAACAAGAUCUCCAAGUGGUGUGUAAGCACAUUAAAAUUUUGGAAGUGCUGCCCUAGAUUACCAAAGUAUCCUUGAUGGUUCUCAUAGCUGAGGGAUAAAAGGAAAUCAGACACAAUAAAACAGAAAUAGGAGAAAACAGAGGCAGUUCAACCUGCUGGCAAAUCUUGAAUUAUGCCAAACUAUGUAAAGUCUAUGCCUGAAAUCUCAGCAUACGAGUGCCCAGAGCAUGAGCUAUUGGAGCCAGCCUUGGCUCAUGACCAGUGCAUUGUUCAGUUAGAUGGUCCUUCUUCUUCUAUGCUUGAUUACCUGGAGGACAGAUGCCAGGACAGGCUGAUUUCCAUUUCUUCAGCUUACCUCUUUGCCGUUACUGCCUGGGUGUGCAGGUGGGAAGAAGAGGAACUAAUUGAGUUCAUUUGAUUAUAAAUGGAAAAUACAGCACAGCUUUUCCCCCGUGUGGCACCCCAAAGAGCUAACAUUAAGGGGGUGAUUACUGGCCCUUUAUUAUUUUUGUUUUGGUAAAUCUGGUUUUCCUGCACCCCCACACCUAUGUUCAAGGUUAAUUCUGUGUUAUUUUCUCCCUGCAGGCCUGUGCUGAGUGCCACAGGGAACAGCAUUUAGCAACAUCAAGCAGGAGAGGCAGAGAAAGCAGCAAUAACUCCACAUAUGACUUGGAAAUUGGCUCAGUCUCAUGGCAGGAGAUGUGUGUUUUUAUGGUGUUAAGUGUGAAGGAGUGAAAGCAGCCAGCGAUCAGGAGCGCCAACGCAGCUCCUUCCCAGGAGCCUUCCCGGCUGCUUCCCCUUUGUGGGAGAUGUGCUGGAAGGAGUACUAAGAGGAGAGGUGCUUUGCUUUAGUAGGAUGGCAGCUUUGGGAAAGGGACGUGAGAGUGAGUGUGCAGAGAGCUUGGGCUGAGUGCAAGAGAUAAGUGGGAUGCAUCGUGUCUUAGAGGCGAUCAAGCAAGAGAGGAUGGGGUGGCAGACGCUUCAACUCUCUAGCCCCUCCUUCCAGGGCAGAGCCAUUUUCGAGACCCACGCCUUUUCCCAUCCAUAGGCUGCUGAAGGCAGAAACAGCCCAGCACUUAAGAGGGGAGCAGACAGUUACAUCACCGGUCUGGGCAGUAUCUUCUCAGCCUCAACCAUUAUUUCCUCCCUUCCUUUAACAAAGACUCCUAGUUUCCCCACCCAAUAUCCAGUCUCCAUUUUCUUCCUAACUGAAUGUUGACUUCUUCCCCCCGGGGAACAAGAUAUCAAGGAAAAUGAUGCACCUUGCUUGCCUCCCUUGCAAGUGGGCCUGGCUCAUCCAUCAGAGAUGGAGAAACCUGAAGACCAAAAUUUAUACCACCCCUAAGGAGAGCAGCCAUCUUCCUCCCUGUCCUGAGCAGGAAUAAGCAAAGACUGAACAAACUCUUGCAGCGGGGCGGGUGGCAGGAGAUGUUUCCAAGCUUUACUCAAAGAAAACGGAGAUGCCUUUGUACAUGAUAACAACCUUCCUGGGACAUGCCAAGUGGACUCUUGAUGCCAAUGCUCUGCCAUCCCCUGACAAGGAGCUUUUUCCUAUGGAAGAGUCUCUAACACCUCUGGAAGUUUCUAAGUCCUGUACAGCAAAGCCAGAACUCAGAAUACAUCUCUCAGAAGAAAUGGAAUAAGGAGCUUUCCUAUGGGGCCAAUGCAGUGACAUGAGAAGCUAAGAUGUGCUGCUGUGGUGAGAGACAGGGGGGAACGCCUCUUCCCGCCCAGCUGGGCCCUGUGGGCUCCCCUCCGCAACCCUAAGGCGGGAGGCCGAGAGCGGCGGGGAGUCGCGCUUCAUCUUCGCCCCUCGUUUGACCCAUGGACUCAUUAAUGGAAGAACCGAGGCAAGCAAGUUCACGGGAAGAAAUGCGCCCUCCCAACUGGAGGCCAUCAGCUGCCCACUCGGGAACAUCUCAGGGUGCCAACUGCGUCUCUGCGGGGUCACCAACCAUUUCUAGGACAUAUGUUUGUCCUUGUGGUAUUUGGGCUGGAGGACUCCAACAGAGAUCAGGUGUGGAGAGCAGUUCCACAGUCUCAAAAAGAAAACCGCGGAAGUCUUGCUCUCAUAGAAGUCAUGACAGCAGUCCUUUAAAGAAGCUCGUACCUGUCAAAUGUGUUUGUGGCAUUAACAAAAAAGGAUCACAACAGUCUUCUAUUGAGGUGUGGCAGUGGGUUAUGUUGCACUAUUUUCUUCUCUAAUUGCUUUACAUAUGUAUAUUGCUUUAUUUCCCCACCUAAGAGUGUUAGAUCCUCAAGAAGAAAAACUGUAUCUCCCAUUUUCCCAGUAUGUCAUUUCCACUCAGAACAAUUUGAUGCACACAGUUGGAAUUUAAUCCAUAUUUGCCAGUGAGAUCUUAGAGUAUCAAGGAAAACGAUUCCUUCAGUUCUGUGACUUUCUCCGAGGUUUGCAUGGAUACACUUCCGUUGUUGACAUUCGAUGCAUGUGAAAUAGGCAUCAGAGCUUUUUACCUGCCUCACCGGGGACUGGGAGGCUGCAUGAGCUAAUGUCUAGGAAGAACUCAGCGCAGUUAACACACGCACACACACAUACACACACCCACACACGCAUGGCGGGAGGCUUAUUCUCACCUCUCAGGCUUGCUAAAGUGGAAGUUUAACAAACUCCUGGCACUUUCUCCCGGAAAUUGUGUGAGAAUGUGCUCCGGGCCCUUCCUUCAGUUUUUGGUUCCCUAUUCUAUUGUCCAAAGUUGGAAAGUAGGGGUCAGAAAUAAUGAAGAGAAGGUUAACCAGAGUUCAUUGUAUCUCAGAUAAUUAAGAGACCCAAGUACAAGGAAUUAUUCAUCUCUCUGGUCUCCAUCAAAUGCCGGGCUAUAUGUUUUGCUGUAAGCCUUCCACUAUAAUUGGCUAAGCAGGGAUAGCUCUGUUCUUAACCUGCAACAACUGCCCCCAAAACAGAGGCUGAUUCAACUGUGGUAAUGGGAGGAAGCUAAUGGCCAGGCAAGUCUACUCCUCUGACAGCCAUGGACUCUCUGGACAUAUGUCUUGAGGCCUGAACCUUAUCUCUGAUGUUCAAACACAGGCUCACAUUUGGGUGAGGCACUGAAACCUCGCAGCUUGAUUUUCCAAACCGUGAGCGUGUACGAUCAAUGAUGGGGUCACGGGGAGACACAUACCUGAUUGAUCCAUCAGGCUACUCGUUUUUCCAGAUGUUUUCUGACUUGGAUUUCAGACCUGACUUGGCAUUUGAAGAAGGUCGAGAGCAUAGGUUUGCCAACUCAUGUGCUUUUAAAGCACAUAUCAUUCAGCAUAAUGACAGCCCCUGAGAUAGUUCAAUUCACCUCCAGUGUGUGUGCGUGCACGCAUGUGCACGUGAUUGAUUGAUUGCUGGUUUUGAAGCUAUACAAUACUAUGGCCUUUUAUCCUGGCCUACGUUUCAUAGCACAUUCCAGCUGUUCAGAGCCACAAGUUGAAAAGAUGUGCUGAUUGAAAUGCUGACUGUACACUAGACAUGCAGUCAGCCCCGUACAAUUAACAAAAAAAAGGGCCCCUCCCUGCUUUUCCCACUGUUCUUAUUUUUCCCAAAACUAUUUCUUUCCUUCCACAGAAAAGGGGAAUGUGCAGAGAAGCAAUUAGUUAUAAUUAUACAUGUGCUGGAGUAUAGGAAAACCAGUCAAAAAGAAUUUUCAAGUCCCAAAAUUGUCUAAUAAAAACUACCCAACAACAUCAUAAUUUUUGGAGGAAGUUAAAUUUUUAUGGAGUUUGGUGAUAAGAAAAAUUUGCUAAAAGAGAGUGCUCUUAAUCAUUACACUGUCACUUUGCAAAGUAAUUGUGGAAUUAGGAAUAAUUACACUCUAAAGAAGGAAAAUGAAACAAUCUGCCUUAUGAUCUUUUAAAAUAGAAUUAUGAUUUGGGCUUUCUCCAUAAAUCGAAAAGAAGAAAGGCAUGAACUUGUGGGUGAGGUAAUAACCUGGGGUCUUGGAAACCUAGGUUUAAAGCUUUAAGUAGUCAAUGCUGGGACUUUACCUACUCAGCAAUGGGUAGCUAUACUUGAGAUAAUAGGUGGGAUUUUAUGUGCAGCAAUGUAGAGGACGCAGGGGCCCGGGAUGGGCUGCCAGGUCUUCCAGCAAGUGCUAAGGCAUCCACCAAGGAUCAUGAAUGUGAACAGGAUAAUGAAUCACUGUCUACUUCCUCUUUUGGAAAAACUGUCAUAUCUCUGCCAACUGAAUCACACUAUAACCAGUCCCAGGCAAUUCAAGAUGACAAGUUCCACUUCGAACAGCGUUGGGAGUCAUUCUGAGGGUCCCCAUGUAUAGACAUAAAAAGUUCCAUUUGUUCUUACACUGUGAAAAUGACAGAACAAAUAUUAUGGGGAUUACGCCUGGGGAAAAAGAAAUCUAUCUCUAGAUAUUCCUGCCACCAUGGAGAGAAAAUCAGCAAAAUUUAGAAUCUUGGAUCUGUUCCACUCACACUAGGAUGUUGUUUCUAGAAAUCUCCCGAAAGUAUGGUACUGACUCUUGGUGGUAAAAGUGGAGAGGCUUAGAACUGAAAUCUGGUCAGUAGAAGACUGAGGGUUAAAAGUGGACGGUCAACCCAUUGAAUGAAGGCCUAGCAGGAAACAGAGAGACAAAAAUAUAGGCAUUAACGGAAUAAUAGCUGAAUAGUAAUAAUAAUACAUUAUGUCAACAGCGGUGACAAAGGAAACACUCAAUGUAUUUAUAGAGCUAAAUAAACGACAGAUCUAGGUCCCUCGUUUUGACUCUGCACAACCUUCUCAGUUGGAUUUUGCUUCUGCCUAAGGAUUAUUUUGGAAAGAGCUAUUAUUAUCCAUGAUUUAUCACGCUGCACUGGGGGGAACUCGUACUUUCCACGGAGACAAUUAUUGAAUUCUUACUGGAGGCUCUUAAAGGAGCCAGGACCUGUUCUGAGGGUUCAGGUGGGAAAGGUGUGCCAGCAGGGGGCUGCAGCCUGGCACCGUGGGACACAUGUGCUGUUGACCACUUCUGUGCCCAGAUGCCUCAGAUACUUUCUCAUUAGGUGCACCCUUUAAUCUCCUGGUUACUAUAACAGGACUGGGGAGAGGAAUUCACAUCUAUGGUUAGUCCAUGCAAGAAGUUCCUCUGCCAGGUGCCCAUCACUCCCAAGGAGUCACUGGUUGCAGCCUGUUCCAAGGCGUCAUUGAAAUAGAAACCAAGUCAAAGCCAUGGCCUAGAAAGACAGUGUGGGCAGAGUUCUGCAAGCAGAUUCUUUAUUUGAGUAAGUAUUCCUUGAAGAAGCCCAAUUGUGCAGCUGUGUUUGGGUGGAGGUCAUCAGAGGUUUAGAAAAAGAGAGAAGUCAUGGUUAAUAUUAGAAAAGAGCUCUGAGAAUCUGUAGGAAGGAAAAUGCAUUACUAGUUCUAAGCAACAACUGCGAAAAUAAACAAUGAUAAACACCUUAUUAAAUCGAAAGAGUUACGUUAAUAGAUAAUAACAAGUAGGAGAGCUAAUAGCUAGCCAUUAAUACAGGCCAAUUUAUUAUUUAAAACAUUUAUUAAGAUUUAACAAUAGUCAAAUAAUUUUUUGUGAAACAGUUAUUAAACUGAAGCUCUGCAUACAUUAAUCAACUGAUAUUUAUCAUUCAGAAUGUAUCUCAUUAUAUCCAGAAGGGUGUGUGCAUAUGCUUCCAAAACAAACUGGGAGAUUUAAAAUGAACUGUAGUUCAUUUUUGCAAAGUGUACAUGUGUAAAGAUUAUUAUGUUUGCCAGCUGGGUAGCCAGACAGCGAAGUGGACUUGUCUAAUUAGGAACAAUUGCUGAUAAAUCAAUUCUUUCCUUUUAUAGGACAAUUACAAUUUGUGUGUAUAUGUGAUUGUGUUUUAAAUUCUAAUUUGAUUUUGUGCAUUGUUCUGCAACCAAGUUAAUUCUUUGAAGUCCUUUUAAAUGGUACAAAUUUUCCGUAAAAUAUAAAUAGGUUUAUUACUGUUUUAUCAGUCACGCAAAUAAUCCAAGAUCCAUCUAUUCACAUAAUUCAGGCAUUAACUGUGUAUAAUUACUCACACGAAGCCUUCAAUCUGGCUUACUAUACAGAACCCCAAAUACGACUUUAAAUUGCUUGCCUACUAUUUUCCUCUGUUAUUUCUCUCCUUCUCUUUUCAUCUUUGCCUAUUAAAAUUCAUCCUAGUCUUUAAGCACAGCUCAAAGAUCACUUCCUUGGUUUCUCUCAUUUAGAAGGGAUCUUUCUAGCACUUGCCUCUCCACUUUUAUCUCUCAUUGCAUCUAGCAUAGUGCUCUGCAUUGGGACAUUAAAACGAUAAUUUUUAUUA